rnacentral:rRNA from 1 species
GGCUCUUUGUAAUAUAAAAAUAAAGAGUCCGGCCUGCUCAAUGAUGAUUUAUCAUUAAAUAGCUGCGGAAUCCUAACCGUGUGAAAGUAGCAUAAUCAUUUGCCUCUUAAUUGGUGGCUGGAAUGAAUGGUACGAUGAAAAUAGAGCUGUCUCUAAUAUGUUUUAUUGAAAUUACCUUUUAGGUGAAAAGGCCUAAAUAUAUUUAUAAGACAAGAAGACCCUAUCGAGCUUUAAGUAGGCUAUAUAUAAUAUUUAGUUAGCUUUUGGUUGGGGCAACCAGGGGGCAGAUUAAAUCCCUCUUUUAUUAUGUCACUUACUAGUGAAGAUCCAGUUAUAUUGAUCAUGGGA